rnacentral:rRNA from 1 species
AACGAACGCUGGCGGCAGGCUUAACACAUGCAAGUCGAGCGCCCCGCAAGGGGAGCGGCCGACGGGUGAGUAACGCGUGGGAACGUACCUUUUGGUUCGGAACAACUCCGGGAAACUGGAGCUAAUACCGGAUAAGCCCUAACGGGGAAAGAUUUAUCGCCGAAAGAUCGGCCCGCGUCUGAUUAGCUAGUUGGUGGGGUAACGGCUCACCAAGGCGACGAUCAGUAGCUGGUCUGAUAGGAUGAUAAGCUACACUGGGACUGAGACACGGCCCAGACUGCGACGGGACGCAGCAGUGGGGAAUAUUGGACGAUGGGCGCAAGCCUGAUACAGCCAUGCCGCGUGAGUGAUGAAGGCCUUAGGGUUGUAAAGCUCUUUUGUACGGGAAGAUAAUGACUGUAACGGAAGAAUAAGCACCGGCUAACUUCGUG